GCUGCAUGAGCGUUCGCUGCCGGCCUUUGGCCGGGAGAGGAAAGUCCGGGCUGCAGAGGGCAGGAUGCCUGAUAACGUCAGGUGGGAGUGAUCCUAAGGAGAGUGCAACAGAAAGUAUACCGCCCUCCAUCAUGCGGACAUCCGCAGGCCAUGCCUGUGCGAUCUGCGGAGGGUAAGGGUGAAAUGGCAGUGUAAGAGACUACCGGUGGUCCGGUAACGGAGCACGCAUUGUAAACCCCAUCCGCAGCAAGUCCAUGAAGGAGCUUUAUGGCUGCCCGUCAUGCUCCGGGUAGGACGCUUGAGACCUGUGGUGACACAGGCCCUAGACAGAUGAACGCUUUAAACGACAUAACCCGGCUUACAGUGCGGCUCGC
rnacentral:RNase_P_RNA from 1 species